UGCUUCGAUGAAUCGUAUCUAAUGGAACUUCAGUUGAUGGGAUCAAGUCGAAGAAAGAAAGCGCUCAAACCAGACGCGAUCCCGACAAUCUUUCCGCACAAACCAGCAAAACCUGGUCGUCUGUGAAGUGUAAAACGAGCAGAGAAGCGACAACGCCUGGAGACUUUAAUUACCCUUACUGAGGACAGUCCAAGACCUUCAAGGGCAAGAAUUGAAGAAGAAGG